UACGGAGGGGGCUAGCGUUGUUCGGAAUUACUGGGCGUAAAGCGCACGUAGGCGGCUUUGUAAGUUAGAGGUGAAAGCCCGGGGCUCAACCCUGGAAUUGCCUUUAAGACUGCAUCGCUUGAACAUCGGAGAGGUAAGUGGAAUUCCGAGUGUAGAGGUGAAAUUCGUAGAUAUUCGGAAGAACACCAGUGGCGAAGGCGACUUACUGGACGAUUGUUGACGCUGAGGUGCGAAAGCGUGGGGAGCAAACAGG
rnacentral:rRNA from 1 species